UACAGAGGGUGCGAGCGUUAAUCGGAAUUACUGGGCGUAAAGGGCGCGUGUAGGCUGUUCGGAAAGUCGGGUGUGCAAGCCCUGGGCUCAACCUAGGAAGUGCACUCGAAACUCCCGAACUGGAGUCCCGGAGAGGAAGGUGGAAUUCUCGGUGUAGAGGUGAAAUUCGUAGAUAUCGAGAGGAACAUCGGUGGCGAAGGCGGCCUUCUGGACGGUGACUGACGCUGAGACGCGAAAGCGUGGGGAGCAAACAGG
rnacentral:rRNA from 1 species